GUGUCACUGUGGGUGCGGGCUUUGAGGUCUCCUUUGCUCAAGAUUCUGCCCAGGAUCACAGUUCACUUCCUUGUGCUUUCUGAUCAAGAUGUAGCCAGCACCAUGUCUGCCUGCGCACCACCAUGCUCCCUGCCAUGCUGACAAUGGCCUGAACCUCUGAAACUGCCUGGAGCUAGGCAUGAUUGGAGUCAAAGGGAACUGUAUUACCACAGGUGUGAGGAUGCAGCCACCCACCAUCAGCCAAUGCACAGCCCAGCCUGGAGUCCCCGAAGGCUUCCCCAGGGACAGAACCGAGGAUCUCCCUCAGGUUCCUCUCUCUGGGGCACCAGCAGUAUUUUGGCUUCCACAUAGGUCUAUGAGGAACAACCCAAGGCAUCUGCCGGAUGUGCUGUCAGAGGGUUUCUGGAAGACAGAUGGCCAAACGGAAGUUUGGGACGAGGUGCAAUGGCGUGGGUGCAGAUCCUAACGACGCCUCCUUCAGCUGAGAAGCAUUCUUGGUCCUCUCUGAACCUCCAUUUCCUCCCCCUGCGAAGUAGAAAGGACAGCAGGCGUUCGUCAGAGAGAGCCGCGGAGAUUGAGAGCUGGGGCCAGGCAGGAGGCGCGAGUAAACACCAGCUGCCAUGGGUGCAGCAGCACCAGAGGCUCCGGGGGAGCAGGGAGCCGGGAGGGAGAUGAGAGAGCUCUGGAGCGUCUCCUCCACCAGGCAGGAACAGGGUUAAACAGGUUGAACUGCAUUUCAGCGAGAGGCCUUGGAUAAGAUCCAGAAAGAGAAACCUGGGUAGAAAAGGAGAACUGAUCCUUCAGAUUAACACAAAGCCAGUGGUGUGAACCCCAGUCAUCAGUGUGAACUCUCAGCCAGUGGUGUGAACCCCCAGUCGCCAGUGUGAACUCUCAGCCAGUGGCAUGAACUCCCAUCAUUGGCCACCAGGAAGUUCAAACGGGUGCCAAUCAGGCCAAACUGCACCUCCCCAAAGAUGUGGUAAGACCCUGGUGUGAAAACAGAGCUGUUGCAGUGUUCUUGGUGAAGAUGGGGUCAUCCUGGAACAGUGGGGUGUCCUAAAUCCAAACUGACCAGGGUCCUCAUAAGAAGAAAGAGACCAGCAGGGCAGGGAAGCUGCUGUGGGACAGAGGUGAGGGAGGGAUCUGAGGGACCAUGGACAGGUCCUUCUGAGGACUCCAGACCCAG
rnacentral:lncRNA from 1 species